AGGUCAGUGGCUUUCCCGUCCGCCUGAAAAGCGGAAGGUCGCCGGUUCGAUCCCGGCCCUGGCCA
rnacentral:tRNA from 1 species